CUGAAGGCUACAAUAUUGAAUACAAGAGGAUACCGCUAACACGAGAAAGAGAAGCCUUAUUGACAGAUAUUGACGCAAUCCACUCCUGUCAAGAUGAGUAUGUAUCAUGUAUCAGACAGCUAGCAACUAUUAUCUGUUUUACGAUCUGGAGGUUGCUAUCUUUUUGUGUCACACACUGGUUAUGGGUGAGCUGCUUAUGCAAUAGCCAUCACUUGUCUUACACUGGUUAUGGUGUGCCCUGCCAUGAUGUAUCGAUGUUUUUUUCUAAUCACAUUCAAGAGCAGCUGGAUGUGAUGCUUGUUAUGGAGCAAUAAUGCCUAAUUCUUUUUCUUAUUUUCUGGCAUAGGUCGCAAUGUAUAAGAGAUUAUAUGAAAAUGAGCUUAAAUCUCGUGCUUUGGCACUAAUCUUUGUGCAUCUUCAUUGAUCCUAAAUGACAAUCCAUUUCUGUGCAGGUUUUGUUUCAUGAUCCCAAGCACAAGAAAAUUUAUGCAACUGAAGGUCUAAUGACUGAGAUUUGCUAGGUGCACAUGCAGGUGUAAUAUAUUAGCCCAAAAGUCUGUCUGGAUGUACUUUAGAAUGAGAAUUGAAGAGAAUGAGUGGGAUUCCAUAGCACUUUCUAUUUCAUGUUGAUGUUCAAAUGCCCGGCCUUGACACUAGCAACACUGGAAAAGUUAAGAAGAGGUUUUCUAUGGCAUGGUAAGGAAGAGAAGAAAUUUCAUUUGGUCGAUUGGAAGGAGGUGUGUAAGCACGUACAAGAAGGCGGGGCUGGUAUAAAAGACCUUAAGAGUAUGAAUUGGGCCCUCUGAGGCAAAUGGACCUGAAGACUAGGGACGGAGGACGGGACCCUCUGGAAUACGUUAGUCAAGAAAAAGUAUGGGCGUUUAGAGGGGAGUUGGUGGACCAAGGACUCAUCCAACUACAGAUCUUCGGCGUUAAGGAAAGGGGGUGCCAUCCAUUGAAAUUAGGAAUAUCGACUCUCAUUCUGAACUCUCGAUCUACUCAAUCGAUGUCUUGUCCUGGAUAUUGGAGUACCACGUCGUCGACCUCCUCGUUGAUGGCUUUCAUGGCCUGCUUUGCCAUAUUGCUAGCACCAAUGGCCAAGCUCUGUGCAGAGAAUUUACAGGCCAUAGGUUGAAUAUUGAAGUGUGACAUAAUAUUUUGGAAACGUAAGGUGGAUCUAUUA